ensembl:lncRNA
GUGUCGGUCUGUAGCGCGUGAGUGAGAGGAGCUCGGAGCUGCAGAGAUGCGCGCGACACUUGUAAGCAUUAGCAACACGCAGUACACCGAAAACAUCGGGCAGGAUACGUUUGCGGUGUGUUUACCGCCUAAUGUGAUCGAAACACGCCGGGGGUUCGUGGUUUACAGGAGUCGGAGGAAGGCUAAAAAGAAAUGCUGCAGUUUGAGACAUUGCUUCUGAGACAGUUGCAGAAGCAGCAGAACAGGGAUGAGUUCUGUGACACUGUCCUACAAACUCAAGGUGUGUCAGUGCCAGUACACAGCUGUGUGCUGUCUGCCUUCAGUCCUAGGCUCUACGGCACUCUAUCCUCCAUGCCAGUACCCAUGACUGGGCAGAGACGGCUAAUUGAGCUCCAGGCUGUGGAUGCCUGCACGCUGCUCAGCCUGGUUAGUCUGCUCUACUCAGGUCAGUUACAUGAGAACAGAGAGCAGGUCCUCUCAGCUGCACAAACAUUGGGCAUCGAGGUACCUCAGUGGCAAGAAGAAGAGAGACAUGGAGGAAAAGUGGGAAGAAGAAAAGAUCCUGACCAAGAGGUAGAGAAAGAGGUGGAUGCCAGAGAGUGGGAUGAUAGGAUGACCAGAAGAAUGGAAGAGGGCAGUGGAGGAGAGAAAGAGAAGAUAAGAGAGAGCAGUACACAGACCGAGUGUGGGAGAGAAACAGAUGAGAGAAGUGCACAAACAGAUCUAGCAUGCUCAGAGCAUCAAAGCAUCCAGACUGUCUGUCUGAUUGACCAGUCGACAUGCUCAACCAAUCAGGAGCUUCUCGGUUACAUGGAUAUCCAUGAUCCGGCAUUAGCAUUGCAGGUAGUCUGUCCAGAAAGGAAAUUGACCACUUGUGAUAUGUUAGCCAAAGCCCCUGAGACAGGAGACUGCCACACAGUUUGUGAAUCUGCCUGUGUGUCCCAAAUCUACUUGUAUUCCUUGGAAACCUCACAACACCAACCUUCCACUUCUGUCACUCCCCACCCUCAUAAUUCCUUUUUGGACCAGUCAGUGGUUGUGCCAGCUGCUGGAGCUGAUGCUAUAAAUGAUCUAACACAGUUUGAAGGAAACAUACCUGGUUUCAUUAGCUACUUUCUGGGUUCCACCAACUCUCAAAAUAUAGAGAGAAGAGGACAGGGCUGUGCAAGGGAAGAGGCCAGAGACGAGCAAGUGGGUAAAACAGCAAGAGCAAGGUCAACAGGUGGAGUGUCAGUGAGAGAAUGGCCAAAAUGGAUAGGAGGAAGAGGAGGAAUGAGGAAAAGGCGCAUGGAAAGGUGGGGUUUGGUGGCAAGGUUAGCAUGGUGGGGUCAGGGUGGGGGUAGAGUUGGCAGAAUGCUGGAAACCAGAUCAACAGGGAAGAAUCCAAUGAGAGUGUUCCGGAGACGGCAAGUCAGAGAGGCAUUGGUGGAGGCAGGAGAGGCAAGAGGAAGAGGCAGGCAAAGGCAAAGAGGCAAGACAGGCACAAUUGCAGGCAGUGAGGUGCAGAAUGACCCUCCACACAGUCGCAGGCCAAGAGGCUGUCCUCGUUUACGCCCACUUCUUCCUGCUUCGCGCAGUUUCUCAUCGAUGAUGCCAACUGAACUGGGCACUGUGGAUACUACAGAAAUUGACCUGUUACACACGGUGACCCCCACACCAGCUGCUCAGAUGGAGCCCGUUCAGUCUAUUGACACAUUCCUAGAUGACCUCGUGACAGGCCUCCAUUUUCUACCACCAGAAGACAAUCAAACCAAUCAACAGGACCUCACGAGUUCCACAACUUCCAGUGAUCCACCCAUUUUAAAGGCCAUGUAUCCCAACAGUCAUUCCGUAAAACCCACAUAUCCAAAGCAGCAUCUGGAAGGUGAACUCUGUGAUAUACUCGAUCACUUUCUGAUGACCUUUGAGCAGCAAGUUGGUUGCUGUGGUUUAGAUUUGGGAGAUGAGACAUUGACAAAUCAGAGCAGUGACAAAUCAGACCCCAGCACAGAUCCAUGGAAGAACACUCCUAAAACAUAUUCACAGCUACAACCUCACAACCCACACCUACACCAUCAAAAACCACAAGCAAACUUUUUAUACACCUCAAGUACACUGAGCACUCAACCACAAUUUACACCCAUGGUGAACCCAUCAGUAGCGGAGAACACCAAUGGCCGGGAUGGCCAAAUACAUGCGGCAGAAGUGCAGAAACCAUCCACAGAUCAGAACAUUAUGCAACAGUUUGAAAACCGAAGGUUGACUCGGAGCCAGAAGAGAAAACUGGAAACGGCCUUAAUUAGCCUCCAAACCCCGGUUAAGACGAAGGGCAUAGAAAAACAGGGCGCUGACACAAAGAAGAAGGGACAAAGGGAUGAUCUCGGGCAAUCUGAAGCAUGUGUGAACAAAAGUGGAGUCAAUAACUUGGACAAAAACAACAAAUAUAGCGCUACAAAAGCUUGCAGCAAAGAAAGACAAGCAGGUGCAAGACAGAAGAGACAAGAAGUGAACAGAUUAGGUAGAAGGAAAAGGAGUGUUGAAAAUAGAAGUCACCGAAUGGAUGGUUUUUAUGAAAGUAAGAAGAGUCCCCAAAAAGGAAGACCAACAAUUCAUGGUGGUGGUAAGAGGAAGAAGAAUGUUGGAGAAGAUCAUGAAGAGGCAAAGCAUAUAUCUAAUGGUUAUCAGGCUUGUCAGUCAUCUGUAAAGAGCCAAAUAGGAGGAAACUGUAUUGAGAUAGCUUCUUCAGCUAUGGAGAAGGUGAGAAUGCUUCUACAGCUCCAAAGUGAGGAAGAGGAUGUAAGCGCAAAUGAGAGUGUUGGAAUAUAUGAGGAAAAUAAGGUUGGAAAUGGGAGAUUGGUCAAUCAUAAAGAAAGACUUCCUGUUGAAAACAGUUUGCAAGGUCAUCUGGGAGAGAUGCAGAAGCCAGCAGACGAAGGGAGAAUAGCAGUUAAUGGAGAUGGGCAGGCGAGAAGAAGCAGUGUAGUAGAAGCGAGCCAGAGGCAUGAGGACGAAGAAAGAAUGGCCAAUGGACUGAGGCCUUUCCGGCUGAAUCUACCUUCAAAUGCAGGCACCAUGCACAAAAUGGCCGACUUAACUUUGGACAUAGGAUAUGCGCCUGGGCUCACGUCUACCGCACGACUCUCACACACGCAAGCUUGCCAAGAGCUCCUCGGCCCACACACAUCUACAAAAGACUUGCUGCAGUUGGCAGGGAGUUCUGUGGAUGAAGACGAAGAUGUGGAUGUGCUGGAGGUGUCCAGCCUAAACUCUGCGCUACCUGCUGUGUCGACUGUGAUCUUGGGGGUGGAUCUGAGCACUGAGGAGGAGGAGGAGGAUGAUGUGGAAGAAGAUGUCGAGAUUGAUGUGCUUGGUCUAGAACCAGAUUAGCCAUGCGGAAUAACUUCUGCUGUUCCAGCUUUCGACUAGAUUUUGGAGCAUGGCUGUGGGGAUUUGUGUUCAUUCAGCCACAAGAGCAUUAGUGAGGUCAGGCACGGAUGUCAAGUGAGGAGGUCUGGGGUGCAGUCAGCGUUCCACAGGUGUUCAACAGGGUUGAGGACCGCCAUACACUCCACAGAUCUGCUGUGAUGAGAGUUAAUGGAGGGAACAGGUAUAGAAAUCAAGUCCUGCAUGUUUUUACAUAUCAGUCAGGUUCGCCACACCUGAGGUUAGAUGUUGGACUUCACGUCAUGUCUGUAAUCACACAAAAAGGUUAAAGUUUUAUUUGUUUUAAGUCAGAUCUGCUGAACAAGUCCCUUUAUUCCAUCUGGUUUCCUUUUAAGACUGUAGUGGCAGAAUGAGACUGGACAAGGUGCAAAGAUUUGUAUGGCCGGUUUAAUCAUUUUGGACUUUUGCGGGCGAGGACAGUUUAGUUUAUUAUGUUUAACAUCAAGCUUUAAGCCAGGACUUCUACAUGUGACUGUUAGUGUCUGUUGCACCACUGUUUAUGUGACUAUAAUCUUAAAACUACGAAGCACACAUUUUCUUAGCGUUCAGCAGUUUAUCCAUUGUUUG